rnacentral:rRNA from 1 species
UACGGGGGGGGCAAGCGUUGUUCGGAAUUACUGGGCGUAAAGGGCUCGUAGGCGGCCAACUAAGUCCGACGUGAAAUCCCCAGGCUUAACCUGGGAACUGCGUCGGAUACUGGAUGGCUUGAAUCCGGGAGAGGGAUGCGGAAUUCCAGGUGUAGCGGUGAAAUGCGUAGAUAUCUGGAGGAACACCGGUGGCGAAGGCGGCAUCCUGGACCGGCAUUGACGCUGAGACGCGAAAGCGUGGGGAGCGAACAGG